rnacentral:rRNA from 1 species
UACGGAGGGUGCAAGCGUUAUCCGGAUUCACUGGGUUUAAAGGGUGCGUAGGCGGGCAGGUAAGUCAGUGGUGAAAUCUUUGGGCUUAACCCGAAAACUGCAAUUGAUACUAUCUGUCUUGAAUAUUGUGGAGGUUUGCGGAAUAUGUCAUGUAGCGGUGAAAUGCUUAGAUAUGACAUAGAACACCUAUUGCGAAGGCAGCAAACUACGCAUAUAUUGACGCUGAGGCACGAAAGCGUGGGGAUCAAACAGG